AUGGUCACCGGGCAGCGCCAAGACACGGGCUUUGCCCAAGAGCACCGUGCACCGCCACCAGGGCCGUCGCCCAGGCAUCCAAGACCUAGACACCACCGCACCCGAGACCCGCCGCUACCCCAACCAAAGAGACGAGCAAAAAAGGAUCCGCCUAUGCACCCCUGGCCCACCCCCGGCAUCGAGACCCAACAGGUCGACCAACACUGGCAUCCAUCGACCCAUCCUGCAGCCCGGAGCGUGAGACGAGAUCGGUCCUGCAGCACCGUGGGGCGGGGACGAGGUCAGUCCUGCUGCACCGUGCGCGAGACGAGCUCGAUCCGACGGCACUGUGCGCGAGACGAGCUCGGUCCUGCUGCACCGGGCGCGAGACGAGCGAUGAACCGUAGCUGGGAAAGGGCCAGCCCUUUGAAGGGAGAAGCGACCGAGCGCCGAGGAGAUGGAGUGAAGGCCGAAACGGUCCGAUCGCAGACAAGCCGACGCCGGAGAAGCUAG
rnacentral:rRNA from 1 species